UGACACUACCAGACAGGGUAAUACAAUUACAACGUCUUAUGGUAUGACGCGAGCAGACAGGGUAGCACAAUUACAACGCCGCCUUAUUGUAUGACGCGGGCAGACAGGGUAAUACAAUUACAACGUCUUAUGGUAUCACGCGGGCAGACAGGGUAAUACAAUUACAACGUCUUAUGGUAUGACGCGACCAGACAGGGUAACACAAUUACAACGUCUUAUGGUAUGACGCGACCAGACAGGGUAACACAAUUACAACGUCUUAUGGUAUGACACGAGCGGACAGGGUAGCACAAUUACAACGUCUUAUUGUAUGACGCGACCAGACAGGGUAACACAAUUACAACGUCUUAUUGUAUGACACUACCAGACAGGGUUACACAAGUACAACGUCUUAUGGUAUUACGCGAGCAGACAGGGUAACACAAUUACGACGUCUUAUGGCAUGACACUACUAAACAGGGUAACACAAUUACAACGAAUUUUUGUAUGACACGACCAUGGGAUCCAAACUCCGACCUCAAGUCUCUGCAGACAACCGCUUGAUACAGGUUUUCAUAAUAUGUCGUCCAGUGAUAAUUCCGACUUGGAAAAGGAUGUGGAACUAUGUAGACGCAUUGUUUUUACUCACAAUUAUUUGUCAUGAAAGUAAAAAUCAGGUAGAUGGAAAUUGGAAGCGAAAUGCGUUUUCACUCCAUUGUUGGGUUUUCGUCGUGUAGAUCACUGGAUGAAUCACGACUUUUGUUAUUCAUAUGAUUUUUAUUGUUGCAUUUGAAAGUAUAAUUUUGUUGCCAUUUGUCUUUAUUGAAAUGAUCAUUGUAUACGUUUUUCAUGCAUAUCUGUGUGUGGUGUGGAGUCGGUUUGUUCAUGAAAUGAAACAGCCUUUUGUACAGAUGUUUAAACGUCUGUGGUGUAGCUUGAUCGUCCACCGUGUGAUAGAGGCAGGUUUGAGAAUGACGUCAUGUCUGUGUGUUACUUCUUGUUAUCUUGGUAUUUUCAUGUUUUGUAUUAUUUUCUGAGUUAAACGGAAUAAACAUUCCAGUAGCAGUAAA